AUACGGAGGGUGCAAGCAUUAAUCGGAUUUAUUGGGUGUAAAGAGCGCGUAGGCGGGUAAGCAAGUCAGAUGUGAAAUUCCGAAGCUCAACUUCGGAGCUGCAUCUGAAACUACUUGUCUUGAGGAUGGACGGAGAAAACGGAAUUCCACAUGUAGCGGUGAAAUGCGUAGAUAUGUGGAAGAACACCUGUGGCGAAAGCGGUUUUCUAGUUUAUUCCUGACGCUGAGGCGCGAGAGCAAGGGGAGCGAACAGGAUUAGAUACCCCGGUAGUCC
rnacentral:rRNA from 1 species